rnacentral:ncRNA from 1 species
AUGUCAUCCCGUGGCUUGACCACGGGAUCCAGUAAUAAAAAAUACAAAUAUAAAAAGCUUAGGUUAUCUUGCUUUAUACUGGAUCCCGUGGUCAAGCCACGGGAUGACAGCGUAUAC